rnacentral:rRNA from 1 species
UGGGGAAUAUUGGACAAUGGGCGAAAGCCUGAUCCAGCCAUGCCGCGUGUGUGAAGAAGGUCUUCGGAUUGUAAAGCACUUUAAGUUGGGAGGAAGGGCAUUAACCUAAUACGUUAGUGUUUUGACGUUACCGACAGAAUAAGCACCGGCUAACUCUGUGCCAGCAGCCGCGGUAAUACAGAGGGUGCAAGCGUUAAUCGGAAUUACUGGGCGUAAAGCGCGCGUAGGUGGUUUGUUAAGUUGGAUGUGAAAUCCCCGGGCUCAACCUGGGAACUGCAUUCAAAACUGACUGACUAGAGAAUGGUAGAGGGUGGUGGAAUUUCCUGUGUAGCGGUGAAAUGCGUAGAUAUAGGAAGGAACACCAGUGGCGAAGGCGACCACCUGGACUAAUACUGACACUGAGGUGCGAAAGCGUGGGGAGCAAACA